rnacentral:rRNA from 1 species
UACGGGGGGGGCAAGCGUUGUUCGGAAUUACUGGGCGUAAAGGGCUCGUAGGCGGCCAACUAAGUCAGACGUGAAAUUCCUCGGCUUAACCGGGGAACUGCGUCUGAUACUGGAUGGCCUGAGGUUGGGAGAGGGAUGCGGAAUUCCAGGUGUAGCGGUGAAAUGCGUAGAUAUCUGGAGGAACACCGGUGGCGAAGGCGGCAUCCUGGACCAAUUCUGACGCUGAGGAGCGAAAGCCAGGGGAGCAAACGGG